rnacentral:rRNA from 1 species
CGGGAUAAGCCUGGGAAACGUGGGUCUAAUACCGGAUAGGAGCCAUUUUUAGUGUGAUGGUUGGAAAGUUUUUUCGGUGUAGGAUGAGCUCGCGGCCUAUCAGCUUGUUGGUGGGGUAAUGGCCUACCAAGGCGGCGACGGGUAGCCGGCCUGAGAGGGUGGACGGCCACAUUGGGACUGAGAUACGGCCCAG